rnacentral:rRNA from 1 species
UUGACCUCAAAUCAGGUAGGACUACCCGCUGAACUUAAGCAUAUCAAUAAGCGGAGGAAAAGAAACUAACAAGGAUUCCCCUAGUAACUGCGAGUGAAGAGGGAAAAGCUCAAAUUUAAAAUCUGGCAGCUUUGCUGUCCGAGUUGUAA